rnacentral:tRNA from 1 species
GUGACUAUAGCUCAGAUGUAGAGCACUGGUCUUGUAAAUCAGAGGUCGAAUCACAUUCUAGUCACU